rnacentral:rRNA from 1 species
GACGAACGCUGGCGGCGUGCUUAACACAUGCAAGUCGAACGAUGAAGAAGAGCUUGCUCUUCGGAUUAGUGGCGAACGGGUGAGUAGCACGUGACUAACCUGCCCCUUUCUCUGGGAUAACGCUCCGAAGGGAGUGCUAAUACCGGAUACUCACAUCGAGGCACAUGCCUUGAUGUGGAAAGCUUUUCGGAAAGGGAUGGAGUCGCGGCCUAUCAGCUUGUUGGUGAGGUAACGGCUCACCAAGGCGACGACGGGUAGCCGGCCUGAGAGGGCGACCGGCCACACUGGGACUGAGACACGGCCCAGACUCCUACGGGAGGCAGCAGUGGGGAAUAUUGCACAAUGGGCGAAAGCCUGAUGCAGCGACGCCGCGUGAGGGAUGAAGGUCUUCGGAUUGUAAACCUCUUUCAGUAGGGACGAAGCGAAAGUGACGGUACCUAAAGAAGAAGCACCGGCUAACUACGUGCCAGCAGCCGCCGUAA